GGAUCGUAAACUUCUAUCAACAGGGACGAAGAAAGUGACGGUACCUGAAUAAGAAGCCCCGGCUAACUACGUGCCAGCAGCCGCGGUAAUACGUAGGGGGCAAGCGUUAUCCGGAAUUACUGGGUGUAAAGGGAGCGUAGGCGGCACGCCAAGCCAGAUGUGAAAGCCCGAGGCUUAACCUCGCGGAUUGCAUUUGGAACUGGCGAGCUAGAGUACAGGAGAGGAAAGCGGAAUUCCUAGUGUAGCGGUGAAAUGCGUAGAUAUUAGGAAGAACACCAGUGGCGAAGGCGGCUUUCUGGACUGAAACUGACGCUGAGGCUCGAAAGCGUGGGGAGCAAACAGGAUUAGAUACCCUGGUAGUCCACGCCGUAAA
rnacentral:rRNA from 1 species